GAGCCUCAGAUUUCCCUCCAUCAGUCAUUCAAUUGUUUUAGUUCCAAUGUGAUUUGUUUUUUGGUUGUAGCUUUUGUCGUUAGCUUUCCAACAAGGUAAGGCUUGCUCCAUUUGGAGUUGAACUGAAUUUUUGGUGAAAUUUUGAGUGUGAGGGGGUCGACUGCCUUCGCAGUUUGGAUUAAUCGAGUUUGGGAAGGCAUUUCUCAGUGCCUGAUAACUGGAUUCGUUCGAAAUUUUGGGAGCAUCGAGAUUUGUAAGCUAAGCUUUGAAGGGAACAAGUUUCGCUGGAUUUGAAGACAAUUUGAAUUUUUAGCGAAUUUCUAAGUGAAGGGGGUUGGUCGCCGCGGCAGUUUGGAUCACUCAACUUCACAGGAGCAAUUCUCACGAUUGGAUCACUAGAUUGCAAUGAGAUUUGUUGGGGCAGGAGCGUCUUUAAGUUAACCUUGCAACAACUUCUGAAUCAUUCAAUUUGGAGCUAAUUAAAAGUUUUGGCGAAUUUUGGAGUAGAAGGGGGUCGCUGCCUUCAAUCCUUGGCAUUGCCAAGGUACCUUGGCUUUUACCCCUCUUAUUUUAUUUUUACUUUUAUCUUCACAAUAACUCAUAAUCUCCACAUUUCAACUUUUGACUAAUAAAUUUUAACUUUUAACUUUUAACCUUUAAUAUUCUCACUUAAAUUUUUAAACUUUGAACUUAAACUUUUGAAUUUAAUAUUUAACUUUAAUUU
rnacentral:lncRNA from 1 species